AGUGGACGCUGGCGGUAGGCCUAACACAUGCCAGUCGAACGGCAGCACAGUAAGAGCUUGCUCUUACGGGUGGCGAGUGGCGGACGGGUGAGGAAUAAAUCGGAAUCUACUUUUUCGUGGGGGAUAACGUAGGGAAACUUACGCUAAUACCGCAUACGACCUACGGGUGAAAGCAGGGGAUCUUCGGACCUUGCGCGAUUGAAUGAGCCGAUGUCGGAUUAGCUAGUUGGCGGGGUAAAGGCCCACCAAGGCAACGAUCCGUAGCUGGUCUGAGAGGAUGAUCAGCCACACUGGAACUGAGACACGGUCCAGACUCCUACGGGAGGCAGCAGUGGGGAAUAUUGGACAAUGGGCGCAAGCCUGAUCCAGCCAUACCGCGUGGGUGAAGAAGGCCUUCGGGUUGUAAAGCCCUUUUGUUGGGAAAGAAAAGCAGCAGGUUAAUACCCCGCUGUUCUGACGGUACCCAAAGAAUAAGCACCGGCUAACUUCGUG
rnacentral:rRNA from 1 species